UACGAGGGGGGCAAGCGUUGUUCGGAAUUAUUGGGCGUAAAGGGUGCGUAGGCGGUCUGACAAGUCUGAUGUGAAAUCUAUAGGCUCAACCCAUAGUCUGCAUCGGAAACUGUCGGGCUUGAGUAUGGGAGAGGUGAGUGGAAUUUCCGGUGUAGCGGUGAAAUGCGUAGAUAUCGGAAGGAACACCUGUGGCGAAAGCGGCUCACUGGACCAUUACUGACGCUGAGGCACGAAAGCUAGGGGAGCAAACAGG
rnacentral:rRNA from 1 species